rnacentral:rRNA from 2 species
UACCUAACCUACCUUUAAGACUGGGAUAACUAUUGGAAACAAUAGCUAAUACCGGAUAUAGUUAUUUAUCGCAUGAUGAGUAAUAGAAAGGAGCUUCACAGCUUCACUUAAAAAUGGGGGUGCGGAACAUUAGUUAGUUGGUAGGGUAAUGGCCUACCAAGACGAUGAUGUUUAGCCGGGCCGAGAGGCUGUACGGCCACACUGGGACUGAGAUACGGCCCAGACUCCUACGGGAGGCAGCAGUAAGGAAUUUUCCACAAUGAGCGAAAGCUUGAUGGAGCGACACAGCGUGCAGGAUGAAGUUCUUCGGAAUGUAAACUGCUGUUAUAAGGGAAGAAAAAAUAGAAUAGGAAAUGAUUUUAUCUUGACGGUACCUUAUUAGAAAGCGACGGCAAACUAUGUGCCAGCAGCCGCGGUAAUACAUAGGUCGCAAGCGUUAUCCGGAAUUAUUGGGCGUAAAGCGUCCGUAGGUUUUUUGCUAAGUCUGGAGUUAAAUGCUGAAGCUCAACUUCAGUCCGCUUUGGAUACUGGCAAAAUAGAAUUAUAAAGAGGUUAGCGGAAUUCCUAGUGAAGCGGUGGAAUGCGUAGAUAUUAGGAAGAACACCAAUAGGCGAAGGCAGCUAACUGGUUAUAUAUUGACACUAAGGGACGAAAGCGUGGGGAGCAAACAGGAUUAGAUACCCUGGUAGUCCACGCCGUAAACGAUGAUCAUUAGUUGGUGGAAUAAUUUCACUAACGCAGCUAACGCGUUAAAUGAUCCGCCUGAGUAGUAUGCUCGCAGAUGAACUAAGAAUU